rnacentral:rRNA from 1 species
UACGUAGGGUGCAAGCGUUGUCCGGAAUUAUUGGGCGUAAAGAGCUUGUAGGCGGUCUGUCGCGUCUGCUGUGAAAAUCCGGGGCUCAACCCCGGACUUGCAGUGGGUACGGGCAGACUAGAGUGUGGUAGGGGAGACUGGAAUUCAUGGUGUAGCAGUGAAAUGCGUAGAGAUCAUGAGGAAGACCAGUGGCGAAGGCGGGUCUCUGGACAGUUCCUGACACUGAGGCACGAAGGCCAGGGGAGCAAACGGG